AUGUACCAGAGAUUUGAGGAACGUGAAGAUCGGUGGAAAGCUGUGCUCCUCUUGAACCAGGGAAUUUGGAUGAGUUUUGCUAAAACAGUAGGUACUUUAACAAUGUUUUCAGCUACACACCAUCAAAUAGCGUGGCUAAACAGGGAAACGGCCAGACCUUUGAACUACUUUUUGUGGCUCCUCAUCACUCACUUCUGUGUAGAGCUCUCUCAUAAUAACGAUCCUGGAUAGAAAGGCAGGAGACAUUUAAAAUAUGAGUGGUGUUUCCUGCCAGCUGAUCUCAAAGAAACGGUAAAUGAUCCUACAUCUAGGCAGAACCAUGGGUCACAUCCUAGUCCUUUUAUUUUCAUUAGUACCUUAAUCUGGGGGUAAACCCUGAGGAGGUCCUUUGGCUUAGAGCUCUGCAGAGGAUGCAAUGCAGAUGAAACCUCCCUAUGGGUUGAAAGAGAUCCUGUGAACCAAAAGCCAUGGGAUUUACGUUAAAAAAUGAGAGCUAUCCUCAGGCUCAUUUAUCUCCCCCUUCAGUGAAAGUGCCACAAGGACUGGGUUUCUUUGAAGUCUGAGUUGAGAGAGGAGUGGGGAGGCAGGUACCUGGGGGAAGGCAGCGCUCCAAAGAGCAGUCUCUGAUGAAUUAAGAACAAAAAAGCAAUGGGGUGAGCUGGUGAGCAACAGCUAUUUUUGGACACGAGGCCCAGCAGGUGGUCAAACAGCAGAGAGGUCUCCAGACCUCCCACCUAACUGUGCAGGAAGCUUGUGUAGAAAACCACAGCAUCCUGGCGUCCACCUUCCACCUCCUCUUCCAACUUAGCCCCAGGCUCCCGGUAAGCCUUCCUGGCUGAAAAGCACCCAGAAUAUUACAAAAUUAGCCAGAGAUUGUGUUUCCAGUCUUCAUCUCGAUGUGCAGGAGGUCUGAGGGCCCUUUUUGGCAAGGGUAGCUGGAGGUAGUUGGGUGUUUUGGGUCCAGCUGUUGGCUGUGGGCAGGAGACAGCAUCUCUGUGUUUGCUACGAGAUAACCAGCUCUUGCAGGCUAGCAGGGCUGAGCCCAGAGCAGCAGCCUGCACUGCCGUGGCUUGUUUCCUCUUGCAGAUUAAAAGCCCUUUCUAUAACCUCAGCAACACCCUCUGCCAGGAGCAUUGUUUUGGAGAGCGCCGUAGAUGCUGCCCAUUAAACAGCAAUUAGUCUGCGCUGGAUGCACAGCCCGCUCUCUCCCCCAGACGGCUGGUUAUUAAGAUAUUUAUGGUUAAUAUGAAUUUCCCCUGCCAUAAAUCACCGGUCUUUAUACCUGCAGGGAAGUCAUGGCAAUCAGCGACCCCGCUCCGUCGGCCCGGCCAACGAGCGCUGUCUUGUAAAAUAAAGAUCGUAACAACUUAUCGUCGCCGUAAAAA
rnacentral:lncRNA from 1 species